UUCUACGUCUCUUUUUAUAUGAUCCGGUGACGUUGUUUAUUUCACAGUGAGAGUGGAAAAGUUCACGCUCACGCAGCGGGAACAGUGGUAAUAAAUCCAAAUGAAUAAACAGGCCGGCACACUGGCUUUAACCCGUCACGUUUUCCUCUCUGUGGCGUUGAUUUUCACUGCGAUAUAUGAAUCCUGCGCCUCUAAGGGAACAGCACAAUGUAGCGAGGAGGAUGGAAUUUAUUACAAGAAAUUCUAAAACAACAUUUUCCCAAUAGUCUUAUCAAUGUUGGGGCAAAAGCACGGAGGCUCUACGUGCUGUAUGUAUUUUACCUUUUACAUUCGUUCAGGAGGAUAAAAAGACAGAAAAAACCUCUUCAGACACGCGCUGAAAAAUUACAGGUUUUGAAUCCACAAUAUCCGAUGUUUUGAGUUUCCUCGGUCUCAUUUUUAACAGAACAAGGAGGUUCAGUUUAGUCGGACCGCACCACUCCAAUCUUCAGUGCGAUCCCCGAGCCCCUUCUAUUUCCCGGCAACGCUUCCCACUCAAGAGAAUUUGACGGUUAGGGGACGGGGGGGACGGGGGGGGGGUGUCUUCAUGAGCUUUUUAUUUAUUUAUCAUGUGAUGUACGGGCGCCACAUAGAGCAUCUGUACACGUAUGUUGUUGACGUAUUCUAUACAUUUACGAUUCUGCCCUUUUGGUGAUUAUUCUCUCUCACAGUUUAUAUCUGCACUCUCCCCCCUCUGUUCGCAACUUCGCUGUGGAUCAAUUUGCCUCAGGAUAAAUAAAGAUGUAUCUUAUCUCUCGUCACAUACAGGCAGCAGGCUUCUCAUUUGUGGCUGGGUAGGGUGACGGAUUAGAUCAGCUGUAGAUAAUUAACAUUCAUUCUGUAGAGGCCUAAAUGAAAGGUCUUCUCUCUGCAGCUGGUCUCUAUUCAGACAAAGAUCGUUUGUGAGUGGCAAGACGCAGCACUGUGCAGCGCCAAUGCAGCGCAGAGGAGGGGCGAUUUGUUCAUUUCUCACAUCCUCUGGUUCUAUGGACGAGGACGAGCACUCUGAUUAAGGCAAAAACUGCGUCUCCUUCUCCGCCACCUACAGGUGAUUAGACAGCUUUGAGUUACAGGUAGCUUAUUUUAGCCUUUAACGACAGUGAACCUAAAAACAUCUUCAUCAUGUGACUGCUCGUGUUUCUUGGACUCAAGGUGUUGCAGCAUUCUCAGAGAACUUCUACUAAAUAACUAACGUUAUUUAAGACGUGGGCGUGGUGGUCGUACUGAGGUCACCCAUCGGUUUGUGGAAUAUUGAAGGCUGGAGUUCUGCGGUUCGGAAAACGCCAUCUUGGCUUUUUCCCCCGGGGAAGAGAAGCUACCACAUCGGAAAUGCAGAGGAGGGACUUAAAGAUGCUGCUCCUGUCAAUAACAAAUCCAUUGGUCAACAUCGCCACUAGUGGGGAUCGGUAAAGCAGACUACGGCCAGUGAGCCGGCCCUGCCAGUUGGAACCACCAACUGGCCCAGACAGGAGAGCCCGGGUGGAAGCUAAGUUAACCCAGGGUACCACUACCCAGCAUGCCCCUGGCUGUCUGACGUUCUGUUGAAGAAAAAUAAGUUGGCUGAGAGGAGCUGCAGGUCGGAGACUGUAGAGCCCACGUCUCAAUCGGAGACCCGGGUCCAUCGUGGUCCCGGACCAAGCUGCUGGAUAUCAGGACAGAGAAAACGUUUUGUUGCUGCUUAUGAUGCACCUUUUUUAAAAAGGUGCACUACAGAAAUGUGCUGCUGUUUUGGUUUUGUUUGUCACGUGUUGUGUUACAAAUGGGCUACAAAUGGACCACAUCAGCACAUGCUCAAACAACGUAUGUUUGAAUGGCGCUCUGAAAGCUCGUCCUUCGAAAAUUGACUCUCCCUCUGCAGAUCUUUUUUUAUCAGACGUCCGUAAAAAGCAAGAAGCAAAGGAUUCAAACCCGAAAGCCCCAGUGUUAAUCUCACGAGUCGAUGCUGAGUUCAGAUCUCAGCUGUUUACCCCAAGAGGGCAGAGGGAGGGAUACGGCGCCCUCUCAGCUCCCAGAUGUGGCGUCUAGGAUUAGCUGGGCGCUGAUCCGGCCUGCUUGGCCAGAAUGAGGUUUUUAAAGCCCUAUUUAGGUCAACCGUUUUCCUACAUCAACAUUCGCUGGUUGCAAUGAGAGCAUGUCGCCGUGUGUAUUCAAUGGAAACACAACGGUUUUGUCGUUUGGAUCUCGAGAAAACUGCUGUCUUUUUCUUUUCUUUGAUCAGCAGCAGCUGUAUUGUGGCAAGAAUAGAAAAAGGUGGAAACGCAUGAUUCUGCAGUGACUUCUGAUGUCUUUUCUCCUCCCACAACAUUGUGUCUGCAGAGAGGUUACUCUUCCUUUUCUCUUCAUCCAAAGAGGAAUCUCAGAAAGUGACCAUCAAUGUAUAUGUAUGUAU
ensembl:lncRNA